rnacentral:tRNA from 2 species
GGGGAUAUGGCGAAAUGGUAGACGCAGCGGACUCAAUGACCGUGAGGGUUCGACUCCCUCUAUCCCCA